CUGCGGGGCUGGAGGGGCCCCAGAGCGGUGAGAGGGUGUGGCCCGCGCGGGGCGGGCCAGAGGCUGGGCGGAGCUGCGGAGCAGGUGGGGACGCCGGGCUAAUUGCGGCAAGGGAGGGGUGAGACGGGCGCUGCCAGGGCUGAGCGCAGGGCUGUAACCUUAACCGGGUGCACCAUUACCUGCCUUCAGAGUGGUCAGCCCACGAGGCGUGAAUAUCUGCAGAUUGGGAAGAGGAAGAAGUAAAGUUACUCCCAGCUGCUCGGUCAUUCCCAAACUUCUGUGUCUACCAAAGACUUGUUUUCUAACUCUUCCUAGUCAUGUUUUCUAUGGCUUGAACCCAUUCCGCAAGUGGAGCCCCAGGUUGCUACAACUUGCCAGGCAUCAGCAUCGCUUGGGAUUUUAUGGAGCCUGAGCGCCACCACUAAAGUUCGCUUGAGGAAAUGGAGUCCUGAGGCAUAGCUGAGAGCAGUGUAAAGGAGAGUCCCCCUUGGAUGAAUUGCUGAUUUUGCAUAUAGGAUGCUAAGGGAAAAGAUGAAAGCGCACAGCACCUGCUCAGGAUCUGUUAUUCCUUGAAGAGAAUGAAAAGGUUGAACGUUCUCUGCAAGACACCAUUGAAUGUUUAAAAAUAUAUAUAAUGUAGGAUUGGUUGCCGAGUAUAUUUACAGUAAUUGUCGAAGAUUACUGGGAAAAUAUAUUGGGAGAGGAAUAGUUCUGUUUUGAAAUGCUGUAACAUUUAGUCAACAUUUAAAAAAAAUUUUUUUUAACGUUAUUUAUUUUUGAGAGACAGAGAAGAAGUGAGAGAGGGGCAGAGAAAGAAGGAGACACAGAAUCCGAAGCAGGUUCCAGGCUCUGAGCUUUCAGCACAGAGCCUGAGGCAGGGCUUGAACCCACAAACCAUGAGAUCAUGACCUGAGCCAAAGUCAGAAGUUUAACUGACUGAGCCACCCAGGCGCCCCGAGUCAACACUUAAAGAGGAGGUUUUCUUCUAUCCCAGUAGGCCAAGCAAAUUCUGAUCAAGCCAUUUCUUUGCUCUUCAUGCUGUAUUUUUCUUAAGAUAAAUGCAUAAAAUGCCUCAUAAUCAUUUAAUGAAGUUUGUUGUUACUUAACUGACUCAUCACAGUUUAAUGUGCUUAUUCUCUAAGCCUCUCGCUUGGAGAAUACUUCCAUCUAGUUUCUUGUUAACAACUGAACUGACUAAAGAAGUCUACAGUUAUGAUGGAAGCAAGCAAACUAACUGAAAGCUGCAUGGUGAAAUGCACUUUUUAGCUAUCAUCAUCUAAGAGUCCACAAACCGGUAAGACUGUUCCUAUCUUUUCUUUUAUGAGCACUGAGGCAGUACCCCAGAGGUCUGAGUACCAGCACUGGAACCAGUAAUCUCUGGGAAUCACGGGACUACAUCAUUGUGGUGAUUUUUGGUGUGUGUGUAACGCUAGACCUCCUCAAGUCUAACAUUUGAUCAUUCGCCAGCUCUUAUUCUCCUCACACUCAAUCUGCCUUCUCCUCUUGUCAGUAAAGCCAGUCCCACAUCACCUCACACCUAAAGGCAGACCUUUCUCCCUCCAUCACUGCUUUAAAUCAACCCUCCUUGCAUUCACAAGCCCUAGGCUCCAACCAAUCAACUUCUAGAGGAUCUUUGCGUACCUUGCAUUUCCAGCUCUAGAUUUUCACCAUCGUCCUCAUCAGCACCUGUUCAUCAGUUUCCAACUUUGAGAAGGUUAUCCUCUCCAGAAAUCGGAAAUCUUUACUGAUUUCUCCUUUCCACUCCCAGCUUGAUCACCUCUUUGCCUUAUGUUGCACACAUUAUACUCAUCCCAUGUUUCUCUUAUGCCCCUAAAUAGAUUGUUAACCCUUGUGCCUGAUGUCAGAUUUGCCGGCCAGGAUUUAGCACAUUAUGCCAAGGAUGUUCUACCCAAGUUGCUUGGCCUCAGGAACUAUGGUUCAGGUAACAAGGAAUUGCUGGUUCAGAGGAGCAGACUAGACCAUCUGUGCCUUGCAAUAAAAUUCAGGAGUCAAUAUGUCCCUCCAUUCAACCUAAUUUACCUAAAGUCAUUCACAACCUUGUCAAAGGUGCACAUCUUGCUCUCAUUCCUUUGAGUAGGAAAUCCUCUUGUGACCUAAUGGUCAUUUUGUGGUCAUUGCCUCUGACCACAGAGUUCAUUAAGUUGAUCCUCGAAUGCCACAUACUGACCAAAGAUAAUAGUUACUAUAUGGGCUGACUGUGUACCUGCCAAAUUCGUAUGUUGAAGUCCUAACCCCCAGUACCUCAGAAUGUGACUAUAUUUGGAGAUAAGGCCUUUAAGGAGAUAAUUAAAGCAAAAUGAGAUUAUAUAGGUAAGUGUUACCUAAGAUGAAGAGAUCAUACCAUCAACAAAAUGAAACGGCAGUCUACUGAAAUGGGAGAAUAUUUGCAAAUCAUUCUCUGGCAAGGUGCUAACAUUAAAAAUAUAUAAAGAGCUCAUACAACUUCAUAGCAAAAAAACAAACAAUCUGAUUUUAAAAUGGGAAGUAGAACUGAAUAGACAUUUCCCAAAGGAGUCAUACAGGUGGCCAACAGGUACAUGAAAGGAUGCUCAACAUCAUUCAUCAUCAGGGAGGUGUAAAUCAAAACCACGAUAAGAUGUCACCUCAUACCUGUCAGAAUGGUGAUUAUCAAAAAGACAAAAAAAUUAAUAAUAACAAGCGUUGGUGAGGAUGUGGAACAAAGGGUACUCGUGCACUGGAAGUAAGAAUGUAAAUUGGUGCAGCCACUAGGGAAGAGUAUGGCGGUUCAUCAAAAAAAUUAAAAUAUAACUAGUAUAUAUCCAGUAAUUCCACGUCUGCAUAUUUGCCCAAAGAAAACGAAGACAUCAACUCUAAAAGAUAUAUGCAUUCCCGUGUCCGUUGCAGCAUUAUUUACAGUAGCCAAGAUAUGGAAACACCUAAAUGUUCAUCAAUGGAUGCAUGGAUAAAGAAAUUGUGAGAUUGCAACACAGCCUAAGGGCUGACCAUGUGAGGACACAGUGAGAAGACAGUCAUCUGCGAGCCAAGGGGAGAGACCUCAGAAGAAACUAAACCUGCUGACACCUUGAUCUUGGACUUCUCACCUGCAGAACUGUGAGAAAAUAAAUUUCUGUUGUUUAA